rnacentral:rRNA from 1 species
AUACGGAGAGUCCAAGCGUUAUCCGGAAUCAUUGGGUUUAAAGGGUGCGCAGGCGGUUUAUUAAGUCAGUGGUGAAAUCUCGGGGCUCAACUCCGAAACUGCCAUUGAUACUGAUAAACUUGAGUUCAGUUGGAGUAGGCGGAAUGUGUAGUGUAGCGGUGGAAUGCUUAGAUAUUACACAGAACACCGAUAGCGAAGGCAGCUUACUAAACUGAUACUGACGCUGAGGCACGAAAGCGUGGGGAGCGAACAGGAUUAGAUACCCCGGUAGUCC